rnacentral:rRNA from 1 species
ACGCCGCGGUAUCCUGACCGUGCAAAGGUAGCAUAAUCAUUUGCCUAUUAAUUGUAGGCUAGCAUGAAAGGACAAACGAAAAUAUCCCUGUCUCCUUUAAGCCAGUAAAAAUUUAUCUUUAAGUGAAGAAGCUUAAAUAAUUAUGCAGGACAAGAAGACCCUAUAGAGCUUUACCUAAACAUUACAUUAUAGGUAAUUAAGGGUUCGGUUGGGGCGACCUGGGGACAUAAAUCACCCCUUAAAAUUUAGACAGACACGUCAUUAAAAAGAUCCUAAACUAAGAUCAGUGAAUCAAGCUACCUUAGGGAUAACAGGCUAAUCCUCUUAGAGAGCCCUUAUCGACAAGAGGGGUUGGCACCUCGAUGUUGGCUU